UCUGAUGUGUGUCCAUGCAAGAAGUAGGUCUAAUACUUUGAGAAUUGCAUGAGGGCUUUUGUUGGGACCACGCUGAGGGCAGAGCCUCGCCAAGAAGAUCUUGAGACAAGGAUACUCUUGGCCCACCAUGAACGGAGACACGAUGGACUAUGUCAAGAAGUGUGACAAGUGCCAGCGCUUCGCUAUUAUACCUUGAGCUCCUCCAAAUGAGCUCACCUAGAUGACUAGUCCUUGGCCCUUUGCGGUUUGGGGCAUUGAACUUAUCGGGUCAUUGCCCAUCACUACAACAUUUUUGAGCAUAUAUUACGGUAAAUAAAUGGCAUAUAUUCAAAGUGUUAUUAAUAAAAUAAGUAACUAUACGUCCCAUACCAAAAAAAAACACGGUUUCAUUUAUAAAAAAACACGGAAUAAAGAAAAAGGCUUAGGCGCCAAAAUGAAGCGCCAAACUUAAUAUCACGAAAGUAAUAAAAUGAAAUCAUUUGAAUCUCCAUCCUCAUCUAAUCUUCUAAAUCCCUAAUCCACAACCUAAACUAUUCCCAGCCGCCUCCUCUCCCCAUCCCAUCAGUCUGCCUUCUCCAUUCCUUUGAACCGCUGGAGCAAGAACCCAAAAGCAGCUCCUUCUACCACAAGCGAGUCUUGCCAUCUCCCUCAAGCUGUUGUCUCUCCUGCUGGAGCAAGAACCCAAGCAUCUACCUCACGAGUCGCGCGCUUGCUAUCUCUCCUGCUGGAAGCAAGAACCUAGGCAUCUCCUUCACGAGUCGCGCGCUUGCUAACUCUCCUGCUAGAAGCACGAACCCAGGCCAGAGUAUUCGAAAUUGUGAGGGGCUUCAUUGGAUUUCAAAUUGGAAGGAAACUUUAUUUACAACAGUUUGCAAGAGGACAAUUAAGUUGGUGAUCAUGUUGGAUAAAAAUUGGCUACGCUUCAAUAGAUAAACUGACUAAAAAGGUUCGACAUGGUGUCCCAUCAAAAGUUUUAAGGUACUUUCCUAUAAUCCCUAGGUUCAACUACAAGUGUUAAUGAAGACAUCCUUACAAAAGUCCUUGGUCCUAAAAAAAAUACAUACAUGAGAGCUUUUGGAAGAGGAGUUACUCGGUCAAAGUUGCAAAUUGUGUCAGAAAGAGAUGACCAUCUCAUGAUGAUAGAAGGUCAAUGCAAAGAUUUGAAAGAUAAAAUGCAACACAUGGAGCAACUCAUUGUUUCUUUAAUGAAAAUCAAAAUACAUCUACUCAGAGUGAGGAGCAAUCAAAUGUCAAUGUUCAAUCAAAUUCUCAUGUUCAUUCCACUCAGAGUGUCAAGAACCACACAUUUGGCUCCAAAUGCAAAAUAUUAGAUUGGAUUGGAUCUGGAGAAAUUAUUGCAGAAGGCUUUUUUAUUUCAAGUGACCAAAGGAUGAGGUUCACCAUGUUCCUCUUGGGCCUAGUGCUAUGAAAGUGGGGAUAGAUCUUGUGAGAAAGAAUGAUGCAUUUCUGUGGAGGCCUUCAACAAUUAUGUCUACUAUAGAAGAUGCUAUAGGUAGUAUAAUUGCAUGACCAGCUGAUAAAGUCAUAAUUAGCUAAGCAAAUGGACUCACAACAAAGACAAGUGCACAAAGGAUGAUGAAUUGAAGGAUGGAGCAAGUUUCAUGCAUGGUUUACUUUUGUGUAUCUUGUAAUGUUUCUGUUUUUCAUUUUUGAAGUAAAAAAUGUUCAAGAUUAUAAAACUUUAUUAUGUUAUGCUUUCAAACUUAAGUUAGAAGUAAGAUCUCAUGAAGUAGACACAUUCAUGGUUUGAAUUAGUUAUUGUUUAAUGUAAUACUUAUGGUUUAUC